rnacentral:lncRNA from 12 species
GCCCCCCCGGGCCCCCGCCGACCUUGCGCUCUGCUCCCCAGGCCGGCGACUCCGGAGGGCUCGGGGCGGCCCGGGUGUCGGACGCGAGCGGGGCCGCGGCGGCCGGAGCUCCCCGCGCAGGGACGAGCCCGCAGAGCUCCUCUUUGGAUCCUGUCUGGAGUCACAGCCCAACCGGAGACGUCUCCUUCCGGCCCAGCACCUGUGGGGUUUUGUCAGGUUGAAAGCUACAGGUAGCAGCCGUGGAAGCUGGAAUAUUCUGAUGCUGGUUAUUUUUACUGACCUACAGCAACUCUGCGGCCUAAGGUACACUCAUGCUUCUGUGGGACCCAAAAAUUCAGGAAAUGUCCCCAACCCCUGGCCCCUAGAGGAGUAAGCACGGCGGCUUCCAGCCCAAGUCAGUGCCAAGAACACCCGCAGAGCAUGCCCUUAACGGAAAGUUCCAUAUCGCAAUGAGGCACUAAGGGCUUGAGAAACUCUCCCAUCCUUACUAGAAAUCCCCUAGACCAGCCCAUAAAAAUCCAGCUGGAACCCACGUCGAGUCCAAGUCCCUGCUCCACUGUGACGGGUACACUUGGACCCAAGCUCGAGCUUGCUAACAAAUCCUCAUGUACUUGCAUCGGUGUCGGCUCCUAGGUGGUUUCUUGGAUUCACAAUCUUGGACACAUUUGGGAAAAGUGCCGGGAUCUGAGAGACCCCCAGGACCC